UAGCUGAUGCUAGCUUUCUAUAUCCCCCCA
rnacentral:piRNA from 1 species